rnacentral:misc_RNA from 1 species
UACACCGUCCCAUCUCGGAAAGUAACGUUAAUUCCGAGAUUUAGUCGAAGCUACUUCCUUCUUCAAUCUGACUCCAAUUUAAUGGAUAUUUUGUCUGUUUUUGCCAUUGGAAUGCCUUGAGAAUCAUUACAGAAUAUAUGCUUCAAUGCACCUACAGAGAUGGGUAACUGUUUAACCACAGAAGAAAAACCUCCAAAAUACCCGCCUUCUCAGCAAGAGCUGAAUAGAUCCCAGUCACAAACACCUGUAUCACCUGGUGGUAUCAAUGUAAGCCUUGACCAUACCCGACCACUGCCAUCUACACCAAAAGUUAAAGAUGCUCUUAUAGUACGUGCCUUAUAUGACUUUGAUGCAAUCAAUGACGAUGAUCUCAGCUUCAGAAAGGGAGAUAAGUUGGAAGUGGAUGAGGAAACCAGUCAAAACUCGGAUUGGUGGGUAGCUCGACAUCUGACGACGGGAGACAAAGGUUACAUCCCAAGUAACUAUGUCACCAAGGAUGAUAACUCACCACAGUCUCAGGAUUGGUGGUAUAAUGUAGAUAGGAAGGAAGCAGAUAAACAACUAUUGUUGCCAGGCAACCCUACAGGAACUUUUCUCAUGAGAGAGGCUGGAGAUAAAGCCUCAUUUGUGCUGUCUGUUAGAGACUUUGAUCCAAAGACUAAUGAUGCGUGUGUCAAACAUUAUAGAAUACGCAGGUUAGAUAAUGGAGGGUUCUACAUCAGUCCAAAGAGAACGUUUGACAACAUGCUUGAUCUGAUCUUUCACUACAGAAAUGCAGCUGAUGGACUAUGCUGUAAGUUGGAGAUUCCAUGCCCAAAAAUUCGACCUCUUGUACAGUUCAGGGAGCUAGAAGUAUCAAGGGAGUCGGUGAAGCUUCUCAAGAAACUUGGAAGUGGUUGUUUUGGAGAAGUCUACGCUGGUAAAUGGCGUAAUACAGUAGACGUGGCUGUGAAAACGUUGAAGCAAGGUCAGAUGACGGCUGACGAUUUCCUGGCAGAGGCAAAGCUCAUGCAUCAUUUAAGACAUGCUAAACUGGUACAACUGAUGGCAGUGUGUACAAAAUCAGAACCUAUCUGGAUUAUAACUGAGCUCAUGAUUAAUGGGGCCCUACUAGAUUACUUACGUAAAGACGAGGGCAAAUCCCUCGCCUUCAGUUCAUUAGCUGACAUGGCUGGCCAGAUAGCUGAUGGUAUGGCCUAUCUAGAGACAGAAAACUUUGUACAUAGAGAUCUGAGAGCUGCUAAUAUUCUGGUGGGUGAUCACAACGAAGUGAAGGUGGCAGAUUUUGGUCUAGCUAGAUUGAUUCAGGAAGAUAUUUAUGAGGCUCAUGAAAAUACAAAGUUUCCCUAUAAAAUGGACUGCGCCAGAGGCGGCAUUUGACAGAAAAUUCAGUAUAAAAUCAGAUGUGUGGUCAUAUGGUGUGUUGUUGUAUGAACUGAUUACUUUCGGAAGAGUUCCUUAUCCUGGUAUGAAUGGGCAUGAAGUACUGAAUCGUGUAGAGAAAGGAUUCAGAAUGCAGAAACCAACUGGAGGACCAGUGCCUUGUCCUGACCCUUAUUAUGAAAUCAUGUUAAAAUGUUGGAACAGGGUAGCUGACAGUAGGCCUACAUUUGCUUAUCUCCAAGAUUUCUUUAACAACUACAUGGUGAAUGUAGAAGGAGAAUAUCGGGCCAUGGACGACUGAUCAUAUAUUGGUUGUUUAGGUUAACACUCUUAAGGAAAUAGGGAUGGACAUUAACUGGCAGGCUUUGACAUCAACUUUUUACUACUGCUUAACUGGAAUUGCAUUCGCAAGUUGAAGAAAUUUGAUUGCACUUCUUCUUGGAACAUCAGUCGUGUUUAAACCACUACCACAGCCUAAAUUCUUUAAGAAGAUAAAUUCUCACAAAAUACUACUAAAAAGUGCUGAUUUGAAUUUGAAAAGUAUAAAACGAAGAAUGAAAAAUGUGCAUAUCAUUAGGUUAGGCUGUUGUUUUUGUCCUUAAAAAUAUAUUUUUAUACACAAAAUUUUAUACACAAAACAUUUUCUCAGUUUUGUACUCGCAUAUUCAGAAGUAAAGUCUUUGUGAUUUGUUGUAGAUGUAGUCGUAUCACCUAUACUAAAUGUGCAAUUCCUCUUUACUUCAGAUUCUCAUUUUGUUGUUAAGGUUUCAGCAUAUUCUUAUCUUUAUGUGGGGUGUAAUAUGCCUGUGCAUGUGCAUUCAUUCAUUAUGAAUUGCAAGAAAACUGUCUUGUCCCGUUUCAUCAUUUCUUUGUUACCAUCUAAAAUUAAGCAGAAAUGUGGCCUUGUUACAGUAUAGUGUUGCUUUUUUUUUUUUU